rnacentral:lncRNA from 1 species
GUGGCUGGUUACAGUACUGUGAGACUCAGGCUCGUGCCCGCGUCGACCGAAAGCUUUGUUUACUUUCCUCAGUUUAGCUAAAAGGAGAUUCCUGGUCGGAAUAUUAUCGCUUUUUUACGAGAAAAAUGGCAUAAAAAUUGAUUUUAAACAGCGGUUGACAUGCUUCGAAGUACGGUAAUGGAAUAUUUAGAUUUUUUUUGUCACGGAUUGCGCCAUGCGCACGACCCUUAUUUACCAUUUCAGAUAGUGUCUGGGACGCACGAACAAAACGCCGCUAUUCGGAUAUAACGAUGGAUUAUUUUGGACCAAACCAACAUUUGUUAUUGAAGUAGCAGUCCUGGGAGUGCAUUCUGACGAAGACAACAAAAGCUGUCCUUCCUCUCUCUCCUUGGCUGCUAAGUGUGUGACUGUGAGUGAGUUGGCUCGGCCCUCCCUCACGCAUCUUUGGUUCAUUGGUUGACACUGCGUGUCUGAUUGACAGGAACAACAGGUGUUCAGGAGAGUGGGAGUGAACCACAACAGAGCUCCAGCAUGGCUCUUCCUCCAAGGACUUCAUCCACACGUCUCCACAACUAACCUCCACCUCCAGAUGCUCAGCAGCAUCAGAUAUGGCUGCUCCAUCACCAACUGAAGAGCCACAUAGUGUGUGACACUCACUGGCAAAACACUAGCCAUCACAGAGGAUCAUGACGAGGAAAGCCCACAACAGAAGAGUUCUGACACCACUGUGCGCAGAGAUGA